UCCUAUCGUAAGAGCUCUCUGAAGUCUUGUUUGCAGAACUGUCUGCAAGGCUGCUUGUCACCUUCGAAUAUACUCCAUCAACAUGCUGCCACUUCAUCUUGUUUAGGCUCUUCGACUGCUUUAUAGAAGGACACUGAAGUCCACAUCUAUCUCCUUGAGACAGGCAAAGAAACAAAUCCUUUAUCCUGUCUCAAAAAGAGCUGACAAGCUUUUAGUAGUGUUUAUCUUCACUGAAGGGUGAUAACCUUGAAAAUGAAAGUGAAAAGAGACUGAUACAAUUAGAUAAAGAAACCAGGACUCAAAGAUGAAGUAACUUGUUCAAAGUCUGGCAGCUACUAAGUGACAGAGCUGAAAUUCAAGCCACCAACUACAAGUACAGAUGGACUAAGGGGGCGCAAACCCCCCUGGGUGAAACAACAAAAAGAAAAACAGAUAAAAUAUAUUAAACAACAGCUCUCAAGAUACUAGCAUCAGGCAACAAACCAAAGUGAUCCCUGUGAGAUAGUAAACAAAUGAGGUGAACCCUAUGACAGGUGCAACUUACUGCUUUGCAGAGUUUCCAGGCCAUGACACUAAGAGGAGAUAUCCAAGCAGAGCCCAGUGAAUGACCCAGAUUGAGGAGACAGAGCUGAAAGUCCAAGAAGACCCAAGGCAGCUGGAAUUUGCAAGACCGAGUACCAGAGAAAAGAGGGCUGAGCAGAGAUAGAAUUCCAGAGAUUUGUAAAGGGUCUCCCUUAAGUAUUUAGCAGAGUAUUAAUCAUUGUAGGCAUUUGAGGCAGUUACCUGUGGCCAGGAAAAAAACCACCCAAGAGGAUUAAAGGAAACAGUGUUUUAGCACUCACACAAGGCCAGAAAUAGCCUAUUUUCCCAUCCAGAUUGACUUAACUUCGUAAUUUGUGGGGCUUUGGGUAAAAAAGUCUACUCAUUAGUUAGUCUUACCUCAGUAGUAGGGAAUAAGUAGAUGUAGACUAAACACUAUACUGGUACCACCAAAAAAGCUUUAAAAACAGACUUAAAAGAAGUAAAUGCUUUUCAAGUAAUUUAACUGCAUCCUAGAACAAAAGACAUGCAAUUGGAGUCCCUGAAAGGAGGAUGUGAGAAAAAAUAUUACAGGAAAUAAUGACUAAAAUUGUUUCAAAUUUGAUGAAAGGAUAGACACAAGAAACUCAACAAAACUCAAAGCGUACAAGAAACAUGAAGAAGCCAGGUGCAGUGGCUCAUACUUGUAGUCCCAGCUGCUUGGGAGGCUGAGGCA
rnacentral:lncRNA from 1 species